rnacentral:rRNA from 1 species
UGCUGGAGGUAUCAGAAGUGCGAAUGCUGACAUAAGUAACGAUAAAGCGGGUGAAAAGCCCGCUCGCCGGAAGACCAAGGGUUCCUGUCCAACGUUAAUCGGGGCAGGGUGAGUCGACCCCUAAGGCGAGGCCGAAAGGCGUAGUCGAUGGGAAACGGGUUAAUAUUCCCGUACUUGGUGUUACUGCGAAGGGGGGACGGAGAAGGCUAUGUUGGCCGGGCGACGGUUGUCCCGGUUUAAGCGUGUAGGUGUGUGUUCCAGGUAAAUCCGGUUCACUUUAACACUGAGGCGUGACGACGAGGCACUACGGUGCUGAAGCAACAAAUGCCCUGCUUCCAGGAAAAGCCUCUAAGCAUCAGGUAACACGAAAUCGUACCCCAAACCGACACAGGUGGUCAGGUAGAGAAUACCAAGGCGCUUGAGAGAACUCGGGUGAAGGAACUAGGCAAAAUGGUGCCGUAACUUCGGGAGAAGGCACGCUGACACGUAGGUGAAGUGAUUUACUCAUGGAGCUGAAGUCAGUCGAAGAUACCAGCUGGCUGCAACUGUUUAUUAAAAACACAGCACUGUGCAAACACGAAAGUGGACGUAUACGGUGUGACGCCUGCCCGGUGCCGGAAGGUUAAUUGAUGGGGUCAGCGCAAGCGAAGCUCCUGAUCGAAGCCCCGGUAAACGGCGGCCGUAACUAUAACGGUCCUAAGGUAGCGAAAUUCCUUGUCGGGUAAGUUCCGACCUGCACGAAUGGCGUAAUGAUGGCCAGGCUGUCUCCACCCGAGACUCAGUGAAAUUGAACUCGCUGUGAAGAUGCAGUGUACCCGCGGCAAGACGGAAAGACCCCGUGAACCUUUACUAUAGCUUGACACUGAACAUUGAGCCUUGAUGUGUAGGAUAGGUGGGAGGCUUUGAAGCGUGGACGCCAGUCUGCGUGGAGCCGACCUUGAAAUACCACCCUUUAAUGUUUGAUGUUCUAACGUGGACCCGUAAUCCGGGUUGCGGACAGUGUCUGGUGGGUAGUUUGACUGGGGCGGUCUCCUCCUAAAGAGUAACGGAGGAGCACGAAGGUUGGCUAAUCCUGGUCGGACAUCAGGAGGUUAGUGCAAUGGCAUAAGCCAGCUUGACUGCGAGCGUGACGGCGCGAGCAGGUGCGAAAGCAGGUCAUAGUGAUCCGGUGGUUCUGAAUGGAAGGGCCAUCGCUCAACGGAUAAAAGGUACUCCGGGGAUAACAGGCUGAUACCGCCCAAGAGUUCAUAUCGACGGCGGUGUUUGGCACCUCGAUGUCGGCUCAUCACAUCCUGGGGCUGAAGUAGGUCCCAAGGGUAUGGCUGUUCGCCAUUUAAAGUGGUACGCGAGCUGGGUUUAGAACGUCGUGAGACAGUUCGGUCCCUAUCUGCCGUGGGCGCUGGAGAACUGAGGGGGGCUGCUCCUAGUACGAGAGGACCGGAGUGGACGCAUCACUGGUGUUCGGGUUGUCAUGCCAAUGGCACUGCCCGGUAGCUAAAUGCGGAAGAGAUAAGUGCUGAAAGCAUCUAAGCACGAAACUUGCCCCGAGAUGAGUUCU